UGGGGAAUCUUCCGCAAUGGGCGAAAGCCUGACGGAGCAACGCCGCGUGGGUGAUGAAGGCCUUCGGGUUGUAAAACCCUGUCUUAUGGGAAGAAGAAAGUGACGGUACCAUAGGAGGAAGCCACGGCUAACUACGUGCCAGCAGCCGCGGUAAUACGUAGGUGGCAAGCGUUGUCCGGAAUCACUGGGCGUAAAGGGCGCGUAGGCGGGCUAUUAAGUCAGAUGUGUAAACCCUAGGCUCAACCUGGAGAUUGCAUCUGAUACUGGUAGUUUUGAGUGCGGGAGAGGAAAGUGGAAUUCCUAGUGUAGCGGUGAAAUGCGUAGAGAUUAGGAAGAACACCAUUGGCGAAGGCGACUUUCUGGACCGGAACUGACGCUGUGGCAUGAAAGCGUGG
rnacentral:rRNA from 1 species